UGAGUCUUCAGUAAAGCUUAAAGGUUGAGACUGAGUCUGCGUCUCUCACAUGGAUAGGCAGACCAUUCCAUAGAAAUGGAGCUCUAUGGGAGAAAUCCCUGCCUCCAGCUGUUUGCUUAGAAAUUAUAGGGUCAAGAAGGAGGCCUGCGUCUUGUGACUGUAGCGUACAUGUAGAAGACAGCCGUUACAGAACUACCCACCACCAAAGGACCAAGCAGCAGAAGAGGAGGAAGCCACAGGAGAGAAAAAGGGAACAAUGGACAUGGGAGGACGUCCUGGACGGCAAGGGAGCCUACACCUGGGAAGAGAUCCUGGCCGGAAGGGAUCGCCUCCCAUGGGAACAGGUGGAGGCACUCAGGAGAGUGGAGGCAGCUGGACAGAGG
rnacentral:lncRNA from 1 species